UACGAAGGGGGCUAGCGUUGCUCGUAAUCACUGGGCGUAAAGCGCACGUAGGCGGGUCGUUAAGUCAGGGGUGAAAUCCUGGAGCUCAACUCCAGAACUGCCCUUGAUACUGGCGAUCUCGAGUUCGGGAGAGGUGAGUGGAACUGCGAGUGUAGAGGUGAAAUUCGUAGAUAUUCGCAAGAACACCAGUGGCGAAGGCGGCUCACUGGCCCGAUACUGACGCUGAGGUGCGAAAGCGUGGGGAGCAAACAGG
rnacentral:rRNA from 1 species